AGGGUAUGUCUUCACUAGAGGAGGGUUUGUGGAACUGUCCAAAAAGCUUUCUCUACCUCUAAGUUCCACUCUUGACAGAUAUGAGGGUCUGGUUCUUUCUGUUGGUGGAAAUGGAAGAUCCUAUGUAUUAAUUCUCGAGGCUGGUCCAUUGGCGGAUCCAAGUCAGAGCAAGUUAUAUUUUGCAAGAAUUAGUACAAAAGUGGGAUUUUGUAGGGUUAGAGUACCA